AAUUGCUUAUAACCUUUUGGUUAUAAAUAAUUGUUAGUGGCAGACGGGUGAGUAAUGCGUAGGAAUCUACCUAGUAGUAUGGAAUAGCCAUUAGAAAUGAUGGGUAAUACUGUAUAAUCCCUGCGGGGGAAAGAUUUAUCGCUAUUAGAUGAGCCUACGUUAGAUUAGCUAGUUGGUAAGGUAAUGGCUUACCAAGGCUAUGAUCUAUAGCUGGUCUGAGAGGACGAUCAGCCACACUGGAACUGAGAUACGGUCCAGACUCCUACGGGAGGCAGCAGUGGGGAAUAUUGGACAAUGGGCGAAAGCCUGAUCCAGCUAUGCCGCGUGAGUGAAGAAGGCCUUCGGGUUGUAAAACUCUUUCAAUAGGGAAGAUAAUGACGGUACCUAUAGAAGAAGUCCCGGCAAAG
rnacentral:rRNA from 1 species